UACGUAGGGGGCAAGCGUUGUCCGGAUUUAUUGGGCGUAAAGAGCGUGUAGGCGGCCAGGUAGGUCUGCUGUGAAAACUCGAGGCUUAACCUCGAGCUGUCGGCGGAAACCAUCUGGCUAGAGUCCGGAAGAGGAGAAUGGAAUUCCCGGUGUGGCGGUGAAAUGCGCAGAUAUCGGGAAGAACACCCGUGGCGAAGGCGGUUCUCUGGGACGGUACUGACGCUGAGACGCGAAAGCGUGGGGAGCGAACAGG
rnacentral:rRNA from 1 species